rnacentral:rRNA from 1 species
CAGAGGGGGCAAGCGUUGUUCGGAAUUACUGGGCGUAAAGGGCGCGUAGGCGGCCUUCUAAGUCGAACGUGAAAUCCCUGGGCUCAACCCAGGAACUGCGUCCGAGACUGGGAGGCUAGAAUCCGGGAGAGGGAUGUGGAAUUCCAGGUGUAGCGGUGAAAUGCGUAGAUAUCUGGAGGAACAUCGGUGGCGAAGGCGGCAUCCUGGACCGGUAUUGACGCUGAGGCGCGAAAGCCAGGGGAGCAAACGGGAUUAGAUACCCCGGUAGUCCUGGCCCUAAACGAUGAAUGCUUGGUGUGGCGGGUAUCGAUCCCUGCCGUGCCGAAGCUAACGCAUUAAGCAUUCCGCCUGGGGAGUACGGUCGCAAGGCUG